rnacentral:rRNA from 1 species
CCUACGGGUGGCAGCAGUGGGGAAUAUUGCACAAUGGGGGAAACCCUGAUGCAGCGACGCCGCGUGAGCGAGGAAGUAUUUCGGUAUGUAAAGCUCUAUCAGCAGGGACGAAAAAAGACGGUACCUGAAUAAGAAGCCCCGGCUAACUACGCGCCAGCAGCGGCGGUAAUACGUAGGGGGCAAGCGUUAUCCGGAUUUACUGGGAGUAAAGGGAGCGUAGACGGCAAGGCAAGCCAGAAGUGAAAGGGCUGGGCUCAACCCUGUACAUGCUUUUGGAACUGUGGUGCUAGAGUGCAGGAGAGGUAAGUGGAAUUCCUAGUGUAGCGGUGAAAUGCGUAGAUAUUAGGAGGAACACCAGUGGCGAAGGCGGCUUACUGGACUGUAACUGACGUUGAGGCUCGAAAGCGUGGGGAGCAAACAGGAUUAGAUACCCUAGUAGUC